UACGUAGGGGGCUAGCGUUGUCCGGAAUCAUUGGGCGUAAAGCGCGCGUAGGUGGCUCUGUAAGUCCGUUGUGAAAGUCAAAGGCUCAACCUUUGAAAGCCGAUGGAUACUGCAGAGCUAGAGUCCGGAAGAGGCGAGUGGAAUUCCUGGUGUAGCGGUGGAAUGCGCAGAUAUCAGGAGGAACACCAAUAGCGAAGGCAGCUCGCUGGGACGGUACUGACACUAAGGCGCGAAAGCGUGGGGAGCGAACAGG
rnacentral:rRNA from 1 species